UACGGAGGAUCCAAGCGUUAUCCGGAUUUAUUGGGUUUAAAGGGUGCGUAGGCGGAUUGAUAAGUUAGAGGUGAAAUGUCCGAGCUCAACUCGGGAACUGCCUCUAAUACUGUUGAUCUAGAGAGUAGAUGCGGUAGGCGGAAUGUAUGGUGUAGCGGUGAAAUGCUUAGAGAUCAUACAGAACACCGAUUGCGAAGGCAGCUUACCAAUCUAUAUCUGACGUUGAGGCACGAGAGCGUGGGGAGCAAACAGG
rnacentral:rRNA from 1 species